rnacentral:rRNA from 1 species
GACGAACGCUGGCGGCGCGCUUAACACAUGCAAGUCGAACGGAAAGGCCUGCUUUCCCUUGUGGAUUGCGGGUACUCGAGUGGCGAACGGGUGAGUAACACGUGAGUGAUCUGCCCCCAACUUGGGUAUAAGCCUGGGAAACUGGGUCUAAUUCCCGAUAGGACUGCAGGGUGGUGCCUAUGGUGGAAAACGAUUUUCUAGUGGUUGGGGAUGAGCUCGCGGCCUAUCAGCUUGUUGGUGGGGUAAUGGCCUACCAAGGCGGCGACGGGUAGCCGGCCUGAGAGGGUGGACGGCCACAUUGGGACUGAGAUACGGCCCAGAAUCCUACGGGAGGCAGCAGUGGGGAAUAUGGCACAAUGGGCGGAAGCCUGAUGCAGCGACGCCGCGUGGGGGAUGACGGCCUUCGGGUUGUAAACUCCUUUCGACCGCGAGGAAGCCACCUGGUUGGAAGGGUGGUGACGGUAGUGGUAGAAGAAGCACCGGCUAACUACGUG